rnacentral:lncRNA from 1 species
UGUUUCUUUCCUUGUUAGUUCUCUUGAUGUAUUUAAUGAAUCAUGUGCUCCUAAGGAUAGUUCACUACUUGAACAUGAGAAUAGUGUGAAUGAGAAUUUUCAAGUUAGUGUUGACGCUUGUAAGGAUGGUCUUGAUGUUGAGCAUGGUUUGAACUUGUGUCAUAAGAUCCAUGAUGCUAGUCUUGUUCAUAGUGGUUUUGUUUAUGUCCAAAUUGUGAGUAAUGCCUUGAAUUCUGGUGAACUCAUUAGCCUAGUGAAAGAAGUGGGUCAUUUCAGCUUAACCACUUGUUUUCUAUUCCCAUUUGACCCCUGG